UUGAAGRCAACUUAUUGGCCUUCAUGAGACUCAGAUAAAUGGUUGCAGAGAGGAUCACACCUGUCGUCAACAAACAAAGGUUUAAGAACUACUGAAUUUUCAGUCAGAAAUGAUCACACCGCCUGGUUGAAGUCUCCAUAUGCAAGUCAACAAAGCAGAGAGGAAACACCUGACUGACAACAUGUGAGUCUCAAUUUCAACCUGUGACUGGGAAGACUACAACCAUCCUGAGCAAAG